AUGGACCCCGCGGCCCAGCCACUGCUCGCCACGGCGGAGCACGACCACGAGGCUGACGGGCGCAUCACCGUCGUGCCCGGGAACGGAAACAAACACGCCGAGGACGAGGACGAAGAAGCGGAGGAGAUGUCCACGGCCACGCAGAGCCGGCUGGAGGAGAGCGGCACAGCCUCGGCUGGCGCCGGCGACGAGGCGGACGAAGAGAUGGCAUCGCGCAUGCAGCGCCGCCUGGACGCUCUUCCGGGGAAGCCUCACGAGAGCGAGCCCUUCACCAUCUUCCGAGUGGCGGGGCCCAUGCGCGACCGCAACCGCCACCUCUACGAGCCGCAGAUGGUCUCCGUCGGCCCCUUCCACCGGGGCGCUGCCCGCCUCCGCGCCAUGGAGGAGCACAAGUGGCGCUACCUCCGCGACCUCCUCGCGCGGGGCCACGCGCCGCUCGCGUCCUACGCCCGCGCCGCGCGGGCCCUCGAGCCCGCUGCGCGCCGCCGCUACGCCGAGCCCACCGAUGACCUCCUCACGCCGCGGGACUUCGCCGAGAUGCUGCUCCUCGACGGCUGUUUCAUCGUCGAGUUCUUCCUCAAGGGCGAGGACGGCGCCGCCGACGCGCUCAUCGACGCCGCCUGGGCCAUGCAGAACGUCUACAGCGACCUCUUCCUCCUCGAGAACCAGCUCCCCUUCUUCGUCCUCGAGCGCUUCUACGCCAUCGCCACCGGCGGCCGAGGCCGCGACCACCUCGUCACCAGCCUCCUCGCCAAGUACCUCACAGUCGAGACCCCGCAGGACGCCGCCACGGCGAGGCCCCCCGACGGCGAGAUCCUACACCUGCUGCACCUCUACUACCACUGGUUCCUCCCACCACAAGACGAGGACGCCGCCGUCCCUCCCGCCGGCGGCGACAGCAACAAGAUCGCCGAGGAGGAGGAGGCGUUCAACGAGUGGCUGGCCAAGCCCAUGGACGAGCGCUUGCCGUGGGUGCUCCCCUCAGCGUCGGAGCUGGAGGACGCCGGCGUCACGUUCCGGGCCAAGAAGUCCCCCCGGAGCCUCGUCGACGUGACGUUCCGCGCCCGCGACGGCGUGCUCGAGAUCCCGGCCGUGGAGAGCUACACGAACCGCGCCAUGUUCGCGAACCUCCUAGCGUACGAGCAGAGUCGGGGCCGGUGGGAGCUGCAGCGGCUGAUGAGCUACGUGGUGCUCAUGGCGUCGGUGGCGUCCCACGGGCGGCGCGACGUGGAGAUCCUGCAGCGGGCCGGGGUGUUCGUCAAGGGGGACGAGGAGACGGCGGCGUUCUACGCGCACCUGGGCGAGCUCUGCGGCGGUGCCGCCGCCGGCACGCCGGGCGUCGCCAACAACUGCUACGCCGACAUGUUCCGCGACGUGAGGGGAUACUGCGGCCGCAGCUGGAACCGGCACCGCGCCGUGCUCGCUCACGACUACUUCAGCAACCCGUGGACGAGCAUGUCAGCCGCCGCCGCUGUGCUCCUGCUCAUCCUCACCGUCGUGCAGACUGUGUACACCGUGCUGCCGUACUACCACCAAUAG
rnacentral:rRNA from 1 species